UGAGCAAUCUGCCCUUCUCUUCGGAAUAAGCGUGGGAAACCGCGUCUAAUGCCGAAUACGACCUCCUUUCGCAUGAUUGGAGGUGGAAAGCUCCGGCGGAGAAGGAUGAGCUCGCGGCCUAUCAGCUAGUUGGUGUGGGUAAUGGCCCACAAGGCGACGACGGGUAGCCGGCCUGAGAGGGUGACCGGCCACACUGGGACUGAGACACCGGCCCAGACCUCCGUACGGGA
rnacentral:rRNA from 1 species